rnacentral:rRNA from 1 species
GAUGAACGCUGGCGGCGUGCUUAACACAUGCAAGUCGAGCGAACAGACCAGGAGCUUCCGCCGCUGACGUUAUCGCCGGACGGAUGAUUAACACGUGGUUAACCUACCUAUAGGACUGGAAUACUUUCGGGAAACCGGACCUAAUAGCGGAAAAUAUAUUGACCCCAAUUCUUCCAUAGUCAGAGACGGUUUUGCUUUCACUUAUAGAUGGACCCGCGCCGCAUUAGCUAGUUGGUAAGGUAACGGCUUACCAAGGCUACGAUGCGUAGCCGACCUGAGAGGGUGAUCGGCCACACUGGAACUGAGACACGGUCCAGACUCCGACGGGAGGCAGCAGUAGGGAAUCUUCCGCAAUGGGCGAAAGCCUGACGGAGCAACGCCGCGUGAGUGAUGAAGGUCUUCGGAUCGUAAAACUCUGUUAUUAGGGAAGAACAAAUGUGUAAGUAACUAUGCACGUAUUGACGGUACCUAAUCAGAAAGCCACGGCUAACUACGUG